UGACCACCGGUACCGGCUCCAUGGUCGUUGCAGGUGGUCUUCCACGACACAAUUUCCCAAACGAAGGAGAAACAGAAAAACAGCAACAUCCACCCUCUUCUCCGCGCAGCCAUCUUACUCAGUCAUAUGACCCGUGCCCGUCAUGUGAUCUUACAGUUUGUGAUUGGUCGGGAAUAGGCUUCAGUCGAGGGCCUUCCACUUGCUACCUUGCUGGUUAACUAUGAAAUAUUCAUUUUUACCCAUCUAGAAGAAUAUGUGCAGUGUUGAACAGUUGAAGAUAUUAACACAGACGACCAGAUGAAGAACAGCAGUUCAUGACUUGCUGGAGGACUGUUCUUCAGAAGAGCUGAUUCCUUCUGGGACUCUAUCAUUACAGGACAAUACAGACUAGGCACCAGUUCAGAUACACACACUUGGAUCCUGUUAGGUGGAAUGUCACUUGAUGAAUUGCACAUCAAAAGUGAACAGAAUUAAACAGUGGUGUUGAAACAGCUAUGGAAAAUCUGUAUUGGCGGGAACAUCUGCAAGCUAUGCUCAGCGGGACCAAGGUACUGAACCCAGCAGUGGGUAUUGGGGUGUAUGCAGGAGGAAAACAAUGAAAAGGAGAAUGAUGGAGAAUUAACAAAAAAAAGGUGCAAAAAUACUGCCAGGGAUACUUUCCUCAGUCUCAGAAGAUGGAGGAUUCCAGCUCAAUCAUUUGUGCGUUGAUGUCACAGGCCACUGCCAGGAUAUCAUCCUCUGUGGAACUUCAGUCAUAGCACAUGAAUCAGUCUUUGCCAGCCCUGGUAACAGCUGUAUAAACAAUGGAUGCUAAUAUCACUCCUUCAAGAAAUAGGAUAGCAGAAACCUUAACUGAUCUGUUCAAAGCUGAUUAUGCAAAGAGACUGGAGCAAUGUGCGCUUGGACAAGGAGACAUAGAAUGGAAAUAGGGGAGAUUAAAAUAGAGAUUGGGCAUGGCACCAGUUGCCCACCUCCACCCGUACUAUACCCUGUGUGCUGCCUCUUCUCCUGCCCCAGUCUUCCCCUUUAAUCAGAGCAGUUUCCACUUCCUGGGCUGAAGCCACUGGAAUUACACCAUAUAGGAGUCUGGUUCACAGAAAGUAUAAAAACAUGUCUUAUGAAAAUGUUUUGUAAAUAUCUUUAAUUUAUUAAGUUACAUAAAUGUUAAUCUGCACUA